UCAGGGAAAAGCUCAGAGUGUCCACGAGUAGCUGAGCAUGGCCAUUAGCAGAGGUCUGCAUCAGGGGAAGAACAGUCUGCUGGAGCUUACCAAACAGAUCUGCUGCUUCCUGCAGAGUGCGCCUGAGCAGUUUACGCUGGAGGAGAUUCCCAUCACCGAGUCAAAGGUCAGCAUGGACGUCAACUUUUCCGGCUCGUCUCCUGCAAAGAGAGUCAACUCAAAGAUUCCUCUCUGUUCAAAGCUCCAUGGACUCGAGUGAUGGUGUAUGGAUUCAGUCAUAAAGUGCAGCGUAACGGCCAGCUGAACCUGAUGGGGGCCGUGUGUUUCCCGCUGGACGCCUCUCCGUCCAACACCGGCCUCACUUCUCCACCCACAGCCAACCAGUAUCCUAGCAUCAUUAUCCCCACCGACAAAGUGCACGACAAAUUGGGCGUGUCUCCCCCUCCUGGAGCAGUGCUGGUGUUGCACUCGUUGCUUCUUGAGUUUCCAUUGUCGAUGGCCUUCGCUGAACAGCUGCUAACCUACAGUGUAGGAGAAACCAUAGAGCGCUCUGAGGAUGAGCUGGACACGGUGCCCACUUCUGUGCUCAUUCAGGUCGUGGAGCUGCUAGAACUGUACUGAGUGAGAAAACAACCGUCCUCAAGCCAAAAUCUCCAGAGAAGACCAAACCCGAUGAAAAAGACCCUGAGAAAUCUCCUGCCAAAAAUCUUGAAG
rnacentral:lncRNA from 1 species